GGGGUCCCUGGGCUGAGGAGGGUGGACCUCCCGAUAGAGAGAGCAGGACCACCAGACUGGGAAGGGUGGGGCCCGUUGAGCGGAGGGCGCCAACUUAUCAGGAGGAACUGGAACAGCAGAUCCAGGAGAAGCAGGAGCGCCGGAGGCUGGAGAAGGCAGAGAGGGACCGGGCUGAGGCCAAGCUGGAGGCCGAAAUCAAGAACUAUGACCCAUGGGGCCGGGGAGGGUGCGGCGCACCCCUCAGAGACAACCAAGGGGACCUCAUUACUGACCUGAAGCAGAUGCACAGGCAGAAUGAGGAAGCUUGGAUGAACCCCGAGACCUCUCUGAAAAAAGCCACCAGGCCCAUCCUGAGGGAGGACAGACUGCCUCCCAUCAACACAGUCUCUGGUUUUGCCCCUGUCCAGACCUCGAUGUAUGCCAGAGGAAAUGUGUUUCCCAAUCAGCCAACGCUUCAUCAACUUACUGAACUGGAUAAGUAUAAGCUUGGUCUAAAAAAACAGGUACAGUGUGGUAUGGUUUGGGAUGUGUCAUGUAUAGAUUUCAAGACCCUGGCCUCUGGUGGCUGUAGGGUCUUUUAGCUUCAACAAGCCACUGAUUUGAUGGAUGUUGUGUACUGUACACAAACACACGCACACGCGCGCACACACACACACAGGUACAUGAUGUUGUAUAACAAACUGUUUACCUUUCGGGCCCUGCCCAGAUUGAGGAGAAGCACCUUAAGGAGGCAGAGGAGAGGGAGAAGCUACGCCUGGAGGAGGCAAAGGAAGAGAGGAGGCUGGCAGAGCAGAGGGCUCAAAUGAAGAGGGAGUUUGAAGAGGAGAAGGAGAUCCGAAAACUCAAGGAGAUGGAGAAAAGGGGCAAAAACAAGGAGCUGGUCCGUCUUGCAGAGG